AGGGAUGAAGGCCUUCGGGUUGUAAACCUCUUUCAGCAGGGAAGAAGCGCAAGUGACGGUACCUGCAGAAGAAGCGCCGGCUAACUACGUGCCAGCAGCCGCGGUAAUACGUAGGGCGCAAGCGUUGUCCGGAAUUAUUGGGCGUAAAGAGCUCGUAGGCGGUUUGUCGCGUCUGGUGUGAAAACUCGAGGCUCAACCUCGAGCUUGCAUCGGGUACGGGCAGACUAGAGUGCGGUAGGGGAGACUGGAAUUCCUGGUGUAGCGGUGGAAUGCGCAGAUAUCAGGAGGAACACCGAUGGCGAAGGCAGGUCUCUGGGCCGCAACUGACGCUGAGGAGCGAAAGCAUGGGGAGCGAACAGGAUUAGAUACCCUGGUAGUCCAUGCCGUAAACGUUGGGCACUAGGUGUGGGGCUCAUUCCACGAGUUCCGUGCCGCAGCAAACGCAUUAAGUGCCCCGCCUGGGGAGUACGGCCGCAAGGCUAAAACUCAAAG
rnacentral:rRNA from 1 species